UACGUAGGGUGCGAGCGUUAAUCGGAAUUACUGGGCGUAAAGCGUGCGCAGGCGGUUUUGUAAGCCAGAUGUGAAAGCCCCGGGCUUAACCUGGGAAUGGCAUUUGGGACUGCAAGGCUAGAGUGUGGCAGAGGAGACUGGAAUUCCUGGUGUAGCAGUGAAAUGCGUAGAUAUCGUAAGGAAGGCCGGUGGCGAAAGCGAGCCUCUGGACAGUUACUGACGCUGAUGCACGAAGGCCAGGGGAGCAAACGGG
rnacentral:rRNA from 1 species